rnacentral:rRNA from 1 species
GAUGAACGCUGGCGGCGUGCCUAAUACAUGCCAGUCGAGCGAACGGACGAGAAGCUUGCUUCUCUGAUGUUAGCGGCGGACGGGUGAGUAACACGUGGAUAACCUACCUAUAAGACUGGGAUAACUUCGGGAAACCGGAGCUAAUACCGGAUGAUAUUUUGAACCGCAUGGUUCAAAAGUGAAAGACGGUCUUGCUGUCACUUAUAGAUGGAUCCGCGCUGCAUUAGCUAGUUGGCAAGGUAACGGCUUACCAAGGCAACGAUGCAUAGCCGACCUGAGAGGGUGAUCGGCCACACUGGAACUGAGACACGGUCCAGACUCCUACGGGAGGCAGCAGUAGGGAAUCUUCCGCAAUGGGCGAAAGCCUGACGGAGCAACGCCGCGUGAGUGAUGAAGGUCUUCGGAUCGUAAAACUCUGUUAUUAGGGAAGAACAUAUGUGUAAGUAACUGUGCACAUCUUGACGGUACCUAAUCAGAAAGCCACGGCUAACUACGUG